GACGAACUCUGCAAACGUUAUUCGGAAUUACUGGGCUUAAAGAGUCCGUAGGCGGCGCGUUAGGUGGGGUGUGAAAUCCCUCGGCUCAACCGAGGAAUUGCGCUCCAAACCGGCGUGCUUGAGGAAGGUAGAGGUGAGCGGAACUGAUGGUGGAGCGGUGAAAUGCGUUGAUAUCAUCAGGAACACCGGAGGCGAAGGCGGCUCACUGGGCCUUUUCUGACGCUGAGGGACGAAAGCUAGGGUAGCGAACGGGAUUAGAUACCCCAGUAGUCC
rnacentral:rRNA from 1 species